UCUGCCCCUGCCAUGUAAGGAACCAUGACUCCUUACCAGAGAGUCAGCAACUGCGUUUUCAUUUUUGACACAAGGGAUGCAUGGCAUUUGUUUGUUUGAAGAUCUUAGAGUGACAAUUAAUGGAGUCGAAGCCAAGACCUCACAUCUAAAGUGAGGCUACACGACCAGCAAGGCUAAGGCCAUGGGCUCAACUAGGUGCAUUUCACAUGGUUCUUUUUUUGUGAAUGUGAAGUCUAGGUUCAAGUUUCCCCCCUCCUUUUUUGAUCAGCCCUCUCCCCUCCCCUUUGUUAGUAAAUUAUCUGAUGUUCUUACAUGUACACGAAAAAAGGAGGUUUUCAUAUUGUAGCCUUCAGUGUUUGGUGAUAUUGCGAUACUAUUUGUUUUCUGCUUUUGGUUGUGUAGGUUGUUUGGUGAGGUGAAGAAAAUGAAGGCUGUGAAGUUCCUGUUAUGGGUUCUUUGUCUACAUAUAGUCUCCCUCGCUGGGAUUGAUGGGAGUCCAGAGACCUGUCCCGCUAACAUUAGCAGUGGAUGUGGAGAUGACUGGGAAGGGGAAUUUUUCCAAACGCAUCACAUCUUACUCAAAGUCAGUAAGCUUUCCCCUCUGGCUGGUUUGUUCCCACCAACCUCGGACUAUGUUCCUAUUGACUUUAGAUUUUUCGACCGAGACUUUACAAAGCUUAUGAAAAGCAACUUCGGCACUACCGAUACCAGAGAAAAAUCUAAAGUCAACAAGAAUAUAGUCCGGGAUUGGUGAGAACAAACCAACCAGAAGGAAAAGCUUAUUGACUUUGGCACUAUCGAUACCAAAGAAAAAUCUGAAUAUUGAUACAUUUGAUACAGUGUUGCAUCAUAUUGAUACAUUUGAUCAAAUAUCGAUGUAUUUGGCUCAAAAUGUAUCUAUAUAUCAUUGCUGCAUCUUAUUGAUACAUUGGAUCAAAUAUUGAUAUAUUUUGCUCAAAAUGUAUCUAUUUUCAUGAAUUUCACUACCUUGAGCUCCUGAAUUUCAAUAGGAUAGAGCUUUUGAUUUUCACUUACCUGAAAGCACGUGAAUUUCACUUGGUUUGAGCUUGGAUUAUAACUUUCCUUGAAGCUCUUGAAUUUAAUUACCUUGAGCUCGUGAAUUUCAAUAGGUUAGAGCUUUAAAUUUUUACUUAACUUGAAGCUCGUGAAUUUCACGACCUUGAGGUCUUGAAUUUCAUUACCUUCAGCUCAUGAAUUUCACUAGGUUAAAGAUCUUGAUUUUCACUUACCUUGAAGCUCGAGAAUUUCACUAGUUUAGAGCUUAGAUUUUAACUUACCUUCAAACUCAUGAAUUUCAUUACCUUGAGCUCGUUAAUUUCACUAGGUUAGAGAUCUUGAUUUUCACUUUAACCUGAAGCUCGAGAAUUUCACUAGUUUAGAGCUUAGAUUUUAACUCACCUUCAAGCUCGUGAUUUUCAUGCAAGAUAGAUAUAUUUGAUGCGAGGAUGUUGAUGAGGGCUUGGCUGCCGACAAGUUGGAAGGAGAUGACUUCGAAAGGCAACGACUUCGAAUCCCUCAUCAUCCAAGGAAAUGCAGUGCCAAUGCACCAGCAGCCAUGCCCCACAUACAUGCAGGACACAUGGUCAAACAUUUCCGACCCCUCUCCGCCAUUGACAACCGGAAGUGAAGUUGGAUGGGACGGGAGAUCAGAUUUAAUUUUUUCGUGGGACAGCUUUUCUCUUCAAAAGAUGAGUUGCAAUGUGCGGUGAAGAGGUACUUCAUGCUUAGGAACAAUCUCACCAGGACAGAUAGAUCGUCCCCCAAGGCCUUGGUUUUCAAAUGCAAUUACACAACCCUCUGCUACUGGAAAUUCUUACACUAUUUAGUCGUCAGCUUUGCUUUUUCGAGGUCCAUCCUUCCAAGUUUCAUGAAUCAUAAUUGUAAGACUCCGGAGAGAGUAAUUACACAGCGGCCAAGAUCCCUGUGAAGUGGUGUGUCCCAGCACAUCUUAAAUUUUCGAGGGCCCCAUGAACGCGAUGAUGGACUUAAAAAGACCUUACAAGUUACAAGCAGCAGUUACAAAGUCUGGGGGAAAUUCCAAUUUCCCUACACUGGCAUUUGUUCUGUAGCUGUAUUCGCAUGGUUAUAUUUGCCAUUGAUUUACCCUCCUAAAACACCAAGUGUUUUCGACGUUAAAAUCCAUCAAAUCCAAAAUUAUUCGCUGUGUUUGGUUCA